rnacentral:rRNA from 1 species
GACGAACGCUGGCGGCGUGCUUAACACAUGCAAGUCGAACGGAAAGGCCCUGCUUUUGUGGGGUGCUCGAGCGGCGAACGGGUGAGUAACACGUGAGUAACCUGCCCUUGACUUUGGGAUAACUUCAGGAAACUGGGGCUAAUACCGGAUAGGAGCUCCUGCUGCAUGGUGGGGGUUGGAAAGUUUCGGCGGUUGGGGAUGGACUCGCGGCUUAUCAGCUUGUUGGUGGGGUAGUGGCUUACCAAGGCUUUGACGGGUAGCCGGCCUGAGAGGGUGACCGGCCACAUUGGGACUGAGAUACGGCCCAGACUCCUACGGGAGGCAGCAGUGGGGAAUAUUGCACAAUGGGCGGAAGCCUGAUGCAGCAACGCCGCGUGCGGGAUGACGGCCUUCGGGUUGCAAACCGCUUUCGCCUGUGACGAAGCGUGAGUGACGGUAAUGGGUAAAGAAGCACCGGCUAACUACGUG